UACGGAGGGAGCGAGCGUUAAUCGGAAUUACUGGGCGUAAAGCGCGCGUAGGCUGUUGUGUAAGUUGGGGGUGAAAUCCCACGGCUCAACCGUGGAACAGCCCUUGAUACUGCGCGACUUGAAUCCGGGAGAGGGUGGCGGAAUUCCAGGUGUAGGAGUGAAAUGCAUAGAUAUCACGCAGAACCCCGAUUGCGAAGGCAGCAUGCCGGCUUCCGACUGACGCUGAUGCGCGAAAGCGUGGGGAGCAAACAGG
rnacentral:rRNA from 1 species